GGCGGCCGGGCAGCGGCUUCACCCCACCGCGCCUCGCAUGCGCGGGGAGCCCGGCGCCGGCGCGGUGAGGCGGCGGCGCAGGCGCUCGGGGUGGGCGGCGGGGCAGCUCCUGCGCUGACACCUGCAGCAUGUGCCAGGAGCUGCAGCGGCAGCCGCCGCCUCUGCCUCUGCGCGGCGCGGCCGCCCCGCUCCGGCGGCGGCGGCGGUGGUGGCGGUGCAGGAGGAGGAGGAGGUGGUGGUGGCUGUGGAGGAGCAGCAGCAGCAGCAGCAGCAGCAGCUCCGCUGGCUCCGAGCGGCUGCCGGCGUCCCUGCCUCCCGCCCGGCAGCGCCUCGCAGGUCCUGACCAACUUGAAGCCCAGAGAAACAAAAAUCCCUGCCUCUGUGUGUGUAGCUAAGGGAAUAACCCACAGGAUGAGUCAUGAAUGCAGCAUUACUAAUGACCCUACCCACACCACAGCUGCUGAACCUUCCUGCAAGGCAGAAUCAGCCGCAGACCUCCCCCAGAUGCCAAGAACAUCUCAUCAAUACUCCCUGCAGCUGAUGAUCUCUGACAGGCUUUCAAACCUGGCCCCCACCUUCUUGUUGAGGAGCCUGUGUGGGGACUCAAAAAAAAAUCUGUUCCCUGCCCCAUGCGUGACAGGACCUACCCACGUCCUUUCCCUGGCCUCAGCUCCUGUGCCAUGAGAUCCCACAGCCCCCGGUAAUCAUCGUACCGCUGAUUUCACCUCUAAGUCAUGAAGCUGCGGCAGGGGAUCACACUACAUGAGUGAAUGCAUGCAAAUAAAUGUAAAGCACACAGAAUGGGGUAAUUUCUGCAAUCUUAAUAAUGUGGCUAUGUGCCUAUUAGCAUUUUCUUUGAUGGAAUAGCUUUCCUUUGGCGUAGGGCAGCAUAUUUUUUUUUAAUGACCUUUGUAAAGGCAAUUCAUGAAAAAACGGGUAGAAAUAGUGCAGUGUUGUUUCUGGAUUGGGCUAAAAAUCAUUUUGCAGCUCUUGUUAAACAAGCAGCAUUUCUGCGAGGGCAACACAAAAUCUGAGUUGAAAGUGGAAUUAAGAUCCAAAAAAGGGCGCGUAGAAAGCUAGGAUUAAAGAAGACAGGAAUGUGAAAUUCCAGCCAAAGAAGAAAAGUCUGAUAAAUAUAUUGGAAGCUUUUGAUAGCUGGAAAAUACAUAGAAGGGCAUCUCGUUUCAUUUUGGCUUUUGCUUUUAGCUGUCAGUUUACUAUGACUGAGUUUUUGUUUGCAUUCUAAGGAAUGUUUUGGGGAAUGGCGUUUCUUCAGCUUCUGACUGAUCAGCCAAAUAAAUGUGAAGGAUUUGACCUAUGAA